CGAACGAGUUCUCGUUGAUGAUCGGUGCUUGCACCGAGAUUCAACAUGGAACGAGUGGCGGACGGGUGAGUAACACGUGGGUAACCUGCCCUUAAGUGGGGGAUAACAUUUGGAAACAGAUGCUAAUACCGCAUAGAUCCAAGAACCGCAUGGUUCUUGGCUGAAAGAUGGCGUAAGCUAUCGCUUUUGGAUGGACCCGCGGCGUAUUAGCUAGUUGGUGAGGUAAUGGCUCACCAAGGCGAUGAUACGUAGCCGAACUGAGAGGUUGAUCGGCCACAUUGGGACUGAGACACGGCCCAAACUCCUACGGGAGGCAGCAGUAGGGAAUCUUCCACAAUGGACGCAAGUCUGAUGGAGCAAUGCCGCGUGAGUGAAGAAGGCUUUCGGGUCGUAAAACUCUGUUGUUGGAGAAGAAUAGUCGGCAGAGUAACUGUUGUCGGCGUGACGGUAUCCAACCAGAAAGCCACGGCUAACUACGUGCCAGCAGCCGCGGUAAUACGUAGGUGGCAAGCGUUAUCCGGAUUUAUUGGGCGUAAAGCGAGCGCAGGCGGUUUUUUAAGUCUGAUGUGAAAGCCCUCGGCUUAACCGAGGAAGCGCAUCGGAAACUGGGAAACUUGAGUGCAGAAGAGGACAGUGGAACUCCAUGUGUAGCGGUGAAAUGCGUAGAUAUAUGGAAGAACACCAGUGGCGAAGGCGGCUGUCUGGUCUGUAACUGACGCUGAGGCUCGAAAGCAUGGGUAGCGAACAGGAUU
rnacentral:rRNA from 1 species